rnacentral:rRNA from 1 species
UACGGAGGAUCCUAGUGUUAUCCGGAUUUAUUGGGUUUAAAGGGAGCGUAGGCGGGAGGUCAAGUCAGCUGUGAAAUGUAUCUGCUUAACGGGUACACUGCAGUUGAAACUGGUUUUCUUGAGUGCUUAAGAGGCAGGCGGAAUUCGUUGUGUAGCGGUGAAAUGCUUAGAUAUGACGAGGAACUCCUAUUGCGAAGGCAGCUUGCUGGGUCGUUACUGACGCUGAUGCUCGAAGGUGCGGGGAUCAAACAGGAUUAGAUA